CGGUUCAGCAUGCAUAGGGGUUGCUCCAAAAGGCAAAUACUGUAAAUAACCAAUUCCCCUCUUCCUCUUCCUUCCCUUAGCUUUUAUAUGUGAGCUGAUGCCAUAUGGUAUGGAAUAUCCCUUCGGAUUACUUGGGUCAGCUGUUCUGGUUGUGUCCCAUCCUGGGAUAGUGCCCACCCCUGGCCAAGAAGUUGGGGAAACUGUACUGAUGCUGUGCCAGCUCUGCUCAGCUGCAGCCAACACACUGGUGUGUUACCAGCACCUUUUCAGCCACCAGUGCACAGCACAGCACUGUGAAAGCUGCUCUGUAGAAAUGAAUUUUGUCUCAGUCCUAGAUUAUAGCAGAAAAACUCAGUAACUCAACAACCCUCUCACCAGGUCUACAGAUUUCCCUUCAGAGUGUGUUUUGGACCAAUGGGCCCACGGUGGAUAUAUUAAUUAAAAAAUAUUCAGCAUUACAGUUGACUGUUGCUGCUGACAGGAAGGACUUCAAGAACACAACAUCCUAUUGCAAAAUCCCUCACCAGGCUACUGGGAGCCUGCUGCUUGUAACAGGCAUUGCUUACAGCCUCCGUCUCUUUGUUUUACCACAAGCUCACACAUUAAACUUGUGGGGUGUAGAUACGCCCAUGGCUUAUUGCACUGAAAUCCUAAGCUUCUUUUGAUGGCAGCCUGGCUGGUAAGACCAUUUCCUGUCCUUUACAGCAAAAGUCUAUUUCUAUUAUGAAAGAAAUUCCCUGAGCCAGGCUCAGGCAGGCAGCCCUGUGUUAGACACCACAAUCAAUGUGAAGACUCACCA